rnacentral:rRNA from 1 species
CAUUUAAAGAAAGCGUAACAGCUCACUGGUCGAGGGGUCUCUGCGCCGAAAAUGUAACGGGGCUCAAGCUGUGCACCGAAGACGCGGGUUGCGACAAUUCCUCGGAAUUGCGCAGCGGUAGCGGAGCGUUCCGUAGGCCUGCGAAGGUGUCCUGUGAGGGAUGCUGGAGGUAUCGGAAGUGCGAAUGCUGACAUGAGUAGCGACAAAGAGGGUGAAAGUCCCUCUCGCCGUAAGCCCAAGGGUUCCUGCGUAAAGUUCAUCUGCGCAGGGUUAGCCGGCCCCUAAGGCGAGGCCGAAAGGCGUAGCCGAUGGGAACCACGUUAAUAAUCGUGGGCCUGGAGAUGAGUGACGGAUCCAAUGUUUUGUUCGCCCUUAUCGGAUUGGGCGGCGGGGCUGCGGGUUCCAGGAAAUAGCCUCUCCAUAUAGACCGUACCCGAAACCGACACAGGUGGGCUGGUUGAGUAUACUCAGG